AUUGCAGGUUCGAUUCCUGCAGGGGACACCA
rnacentral:tRNA from 1 species